UUAUGGCCAAUUGAUGCACAAAGGGUGCUCGCAAUUCCACUUCCCAUGUUUAAUAUGCCAGAUUUCAUUGCUUGGAGCUGUACAAAAAAUGGCAUGUUCACUGUUCGUCCGGCUUAUUUGGAAGAAUGGAACAACCAACAUGGGAAAAAGUUGCAACAUGCAAAUGGGAUGGGUAGAACCAAUGUCAAUCCUAUUUGGGGAAAGUUGAAAUUAUCCUGUCCGGCAAAGGUAAAAAUCUUUAUCUGGCGUACUCUACAUGGAACCCUCCCAUGUCGAGUUACACUUGCUAAUAGACACUUGAAGGUUUCGCCCAUCUGCCCGUCAUGCUCGAAUGCUCCAGAAGAUACAAAACACGUCUUAUUCCGGUGUCGGAAGGCGAAAGAGUGGGGAAAAUUAGGUUUAUACGAGGUGAUCAAUGAACUUUGUGUUGUUGACCGUGCGGGAGAGGCGGUACUAGAAUUCUUACUCUUUAUGUAAGGUCAGGAAUUAUAUUUAAUGGGCAUCCAGAACAUGCACGAACUGAUCGCUAUCACAACCUGGUAUUUAUAGUGGGAUAGACGUAAACUGGUUCAUGAAGGAAAGUUUCAAGAUGCUAACCAAACUUCGAUAGGUGCUCUUGCUAUAACGGCAAACUAUGUUAAUGCCUACUCCCCUAAGGCAUCUAUUAAAACAGCGGGAUGGAGCUGUCCUCCUAGGGGUUUUGUCAAGCUGAAUAUUGAUGCCUCGUUUGAUCAUGAUUUGCUUUACGGUAAAACUGGGGCGGUCCUUAGAGAUGACAAAGGCAUGUUCAUUGUCGGUGGGAACUGUAGGUUUGAUUCUUGUGCAGAUGUAUUACAGGCAGAAGCGGCGGUCCUGAAGUUUGGGUUAUUACUUGCACAAAAUGCAGGAUGCGAUCGUCUUGUUAUUAACCCAGACAACAUGGAAGUGAUUGACACAAUGAAGAAUGAAGGACACUCGGCAGGAGCGGCGGCUGUAGUCUUUGAUGAUUGUUAUUUUUUGGCUUGUGAUCUUUCUUUUAUUAGUUUUGAACAUUGCAAUAGUGAAGCAAAUAAGGUGGCUUAUGAAAUUGCUAGGCUAGCAAAUUUUCGAAAACUAAGGAUUGGUUUGAGGAGACAAUGA
rnacentral:rRNA from 1 species